rnacentral:lncRNA from 1 species
UUGCAGGAAACUCCAUGACCUCAUCAUGGUCAACUCGUAAUUACACGUGACAAAUAAGUCCAUUUUGGUAAUUUCAAAUCACAAACAAAAUUUCUGACAUAUUUUAACCUCAUGUGCCGCCCAAUUUCCAAAUUUUAAUUAUAUUUUUCAUUAAAAAAAAAUAAAAAUAAUGAUCGCACGUACGUGUGCAUACACUUUCAAAAUUCUAUUUAUACCCUUCAAGCUCCUAACCUCACUCCCUUUUCCCACUUUCUCUAUUCUUCUUACUGCUUAAGUUUUCUCUCUUCUCUUUCUCCGGCGACGUAAUUUUAUCAAUCUCAUCAAAGCGAUUAUGGCAUCAACGGAAUCAGAUCUAGAUGAGUUUCUUAAUCUCGAUUACGAACUUCGUUAUCCAACUCUUGCUGAUACUGAAGCAUUUAUGACCGGUGUUUGCUCCGCNNNN